GGGUUGUGAGGUUAAGCGACUAAGCGUACACGGUGGAUGCCCUGGCAGUCAGAGGCGAUGAAGGACGUGCUAAUCUGCGAUAAGCGUCGGUAAGGUGAUAUGAACCGUUAUAACCGGCGAUUUCCGAAUGGGGAAACCCAGUGUGAUUCGUCACACUAUCAUUAACUGAAUCCAUAGGUUAAUGAGGCGAACCGGGGGAACUGAAACAUCUAAGUACCCCGAGGAAAAGAAAUCAACCGAGAUUCCCCCAGUAGCGGCGAGCGAACGGGGAGCAGCCCAGAGCCUGAAUCAGUGUGUGUGUUAGUGGAAGCGUCUGGAAAGGCGCGCGAUACAGGGUGACAGCCCCGUACACAAAAAUGCACAUGCUGUGAGCUCGAUGAGUAGGGCGGGACACGUGGUAUCCUGUCUGAAUAUGGGGGGACCAUCCUCCAAGGCUAAAUACUCCUGACUGACCGAUAGUGAACCAGUACCGUGAGGGAAAGGCGAAAAGAACCCCGGCGAGGGGAGUGAAAAAGAACCUGAAACCGUGUACGUACAAGCAGUGGGAGCACGCUUCGGCGUGUGACUGCGUACCUUUUGUAUAAUGGGUCAGCGACUUAUAUUCUGUAGCAAGGUUAACCGAAUAGGGGAGCCGAAGGGAAACCGAGUCUUAACUGGGCGUUAAGUUGCAGGGUAUAGACCCGAAACCCGGUGAUCUAGCCAUGGGCAGGUUGAAGGUUGGGUAACACUAACUGGAGGACCGAACCGACUAAUGUUGAAAAAUUAGCGGAUGACUUGUGGCUGGGGGUGAAAGGCCAAUCAAACCGGGAGAUAGCUGGUUCUCCCCGAAAGCUAUUUAGGUAGCGCCUCGUGAAUUCAUCUCCGGGGGUAGAGCACUGUUUCGGCAAGGGGGUCAUCCCGACUUACCAACCCGAUGCAAACUGCGAAUACCGGAGAAUGUUAUCACGGGAGACACACGGCGGGUGCUAACGUCCGUCGUGAAGAGGGAAACAACCCAGACCGCCAGCUAAGGUCCCAAAGUCAUGGUUAAGUGGGAAACGAUGUGGGAAGGCCCAGACAGCCAGGAUGUUGGCUUAGAAGCAGCCAUCAUUUAAAGAAAGCGUAAUAGCUCACUGGUCGAGUCGGCCUGCGCGGAAGAUGUAACGGGGCUAAACCAUGCACCGAAGCUGCGGCAGCGACGCUUAUGCGUUGUUGGGUAGGGGAGCGUUCUGUAAGCCUGUGAAGGUGUGCUGUGAGGCAUGCUGGAGGUAUCAGAAGUGCGAAUGCUGACAUAAGUAACGAUAAAGCGGGUGAAAAGCCCGCUCGCCGGAAGACCAAGGGUUCCUGUCCAACGUUAAUCGGGGCAGGGUGAGUCGACCCCUAAGGCGAGGCCGAAAGGCGUAGUCGAUGGGAAACAGGUUAAUAUUCCUGUACUUGGUGUUACUGCGAAGGGGGGACGGAGAAGGCUAUGUUGGCCGGGCGACGGUUGUCCCGGUUUAAGCGUGUAGGCUGGUUUUCCAGGCAAAUCCGGAAAAUCAAGGCUGAGGCGUGAUGACGAGGCACUACGGUGCUGAAGCAACAAAUGCCCUGCUUCCAGGAAAAGCCUCUAAGCAUCAGGUAACAUCAAAUCGUACCCCAAACCGACACAGGUGGUCAGGUAGAGAAUACCAAGGCGCUUGAGAGAACUCGGGUGAAGGAACUAGGCAAAAUGGUGCCGUAACUUCGGGAGAAGGCACGCUGAUAUGUAGGUGAAGCGACUUGCUCGUGGAGCUGAAAUCAGUCGAAGAUACCAGCUGGCUGCAACUGUUUAUUAAAAACACAGCACUGUGCAAACACGAAAGUGGACGUAUACGGUGUGACGCCUGCCCGGUGCCGGAAGGUUAAUUGAUGGGGUUAGCGCAAGCGAAGCUCUUGAUCGAAGCCCCGGUAAACGGCGGCCGUAACUAUAACGGUCCUAAGGUAGCGAAAUUCCUUGUCGGGUAAGUUCCGACCUGCACGAAUGGCGUAAUGAUGGCCAGGCUGUCUCCACCCGAGACUCAGUGAAAUUGAACUCGCUGUGAAGAUGCAGUGUACCCGCGGCAAGACGGAAAGACCCCGUGAACCUUUACUAUAGCUUGACACUGAACAUUGAGCCUUGAUGUGUAGGAUAGGUGGGAGGCUUUGAAGUGUGGACGCCAGUCUGCAUGGAGCCGACCUUGAAAUACCACCCUUUAAUGUUUGAUGUUCUAACGUUGACCCGUAAUCCGGGUUGCGGACAGUGUCUGGUGGGUAGUUUGACUGGGGCGGUCUCCUCCUAAAGAGUAACGGAGGAGCACGAAGGUUGGCUAAUCCUGGUCGGACAUCAGGAGGUUAGUGCAAUGGCAUAAGCCAGCUUGACUGCGAGCGUGACGGCGCGAGCAGGUGCGAAAGCAGGUCAUAGUGAUCCGGUGGUUCUGAAUGGAAGGGCCAUCGCUCAACGGAUAAAAGGUACUCCGGGGAUAACAGGCUGAUACCGCCCAAGAGUUCAUAUCGACGGCGGUGUUUGGCACCUCGAUGUCGGCUCAUCACAUCCUGGGGCUGAAGUAGGUCCCAAGGGUAUGGCUGUUCGCCAUUUAAAGUGGUACGCGAGCUGGGUUUAGAACGUCGUGAGACAGUUCGGUCCCUAUCUGCCGUGGGCGCUGGAGAACUGAGGGGGGCUGCUCCUAGUACGAGAGGACCGGAGUGGACGCAUCACUGGUGUUCGGGUUGUCAUGCCAAUGGCACUGCCCGGUAGCUAAAUGCGGAAGAGAUAAGUGCUGAAAGCAUCUAAGCACGAAACUUGCCCCGAGAUGAGUUCUCCCUGACUCCUUGAGAGUCCUGAAGGAACGUUGAAGACGACGACGUUGAUAGGCCGGGUGUGUAAGCGCAGCGAUGCGUUGAGCUAACCGGUACUAAUGAACCGUGAGGCUUAACCUUACAACGCCGAAGCUGUU
rnacentral:rRNA from 1 species